rnacentral:rRNA from 1 species
CCCGCUGAACUUAAGCAUAUCAAUAAGCGGAGGAAAAGAAACUAACAAGGAUUCCCCUAGUAACUGCGAGUGAACCGGGAAAAGCUCAAAUUUUGAAUCUGGCGGUCUUUACGGUCGUCCGAGUUGUAAUCUAGAGAAGCGUCUUCCGCGCUGGACCGUGUAUAAGUUUCCUGGAAUGGAACGUCGUAGAGGGUGACAAUCCCGUCUUUGACACGGACUCCCAGGGCUAUGUGAUGCGCUCUCGACGAGUCGAGUUGUUUGGGAAUGCAGCUCAAAUAGGGUGGUAAAUUCCAUCUAAAGCUAAAUACAGGCGAGAGACCGAUAGCGAACAAGUACCGUGAGGGAAAGAUGAAAAGAACUUUGGAAAGAGAGUUAAACAGUACGUGAAAUUGCUGAAAGGGAAACGCUUGAUGUCAGUCGCGUCGGCCGGGGAUCAGCCUUGCUCUUUUGCUCGGCGUACUUCCUGGUCGACGGGUCAGCAUCGGUUUCGAUCGUCGGAGAAUGGCUCGAGGAAUGUGGCACUCUUCGGAGUGUGUUAUAGACUCGGGUCGAAUACGACGCUCGGGACCGAGGAACUCAGCACGACCUUCACCGGUUCGGAGCUUCGGCUCACGUUAACGUGCUUAGGAUGCUGGCAUAAUGGCCUUAAGCGACCCGUCUUGAAACACGG